AAAGAAAGAAAGAAAGAAAGAAAGAAAGAAAGAAAGAAAGAAAGAAAGAAAGAAAGAAAGAAAGGUGUUUGGAGGGUUUCCUCCAUACUUCACCAUGGCCCUCAGAGGGAAGCCGAGUACCUGGACCCCUGGAGGAAUGCCUCCAGCCGGCACAGUGACACUGUGGGUGUCUUUACAGACAUUCUGCUUGCAAUAGUUUGAAACUGCAGUCUCCAGAGAGACCUUAGUCCUCUGCUGGCCUCCAACAUGAGUGGCUGAACUGUGCAUAUGCCGUCUCUUUUAAUUCUAGCCUCCAAGUAAGUGUGAAGGAGUAUGUCGUUUUCGUUUCGACUGUGGAGGUCAGAGGACAGCUUUCCGGAAUCCUUUCUCAUGUUCUACCCUGACUCAGGUUCGGAUUCAGGACACCAGGUUUGAGCAGCAGUUAUCACUACCUGAUGAGUCCCUCAUCUUUCACUUUUGCAUCUUAUUUCCACGUGGGCAGUCAACACUUAGUGAAGAUCUGUUUCCCUUCUAUCUUCCCAGAAUGCCCUUCCCCAGACCCGGAUCCUCUAGAAUAGUCACAGAGCUGAGUUGGGUUUUAACCCCAUACAACAUGAGCGCUCCUCUCUCCUCGCUGAGCUCUGAGUACCAGCUGAACUAGGUACUCCGACGCAACGCAUGCGCAGGGAAGUGCCACGCUGUUAUUUCUCUCACAUCCACGAGGGGUCGCACAACGCCUUCCAGAGUUCGCCCCAAGAACCUGCGCCUUAGUAAAUCCCUUCCCUCCGGAACCUCCCAUCUCUCCCAACACCACCUUCGGGUUUAAAGUUCCAGAGCUGUAUUCCUGGUUGUCCCAGAAACCUAUCCGUGCAGCCGCUUGGCGUGAUUUAACUGAGCUAUGGGAAGCAUGCAGUCUGACUCCUUCAUUCAGUACCCUAUACUGUGCUUUCCUCGUCAGCAAAAUGAUAAUCCCCACUGCGCUGAGCGCUAUCCAAGAGAGUGGGGAGCCUCAUCUCAUUUUGAGCAUGGUGUCCAGCACAUUCCAGGAGCCCGGUAUACCCCAGGUGCCUACUGAAAAAGUCAUUUUACCUAGAUGUCAAACUCUCCCUGUAAAACUCAC
rnacentral:lncRNA from 1 species